rnacentral:rRNA from 1 species
CGGCAACAGCUCAAAUUUGAAAUCUGGCCUCUCGGGGUCCGAGUUGUAAUUUGUAGAGGAUGUUUUGGGUACCGCCCCGGUCUAAAUUUCUUGGAACAGAGCGUCAUAGAGGGUGAGAAUCCCGUCCUUG